rnacentral:lncRNA from 1 species
AUGGUUCUCAUCAAUAUCCAAGUCAUAUCUCUUUUAAUAAACAGGCUAUCAACUCAACAAGCCAGAUGUCAUUUUCAAGUUGGAGCAGGAAGAAGAGCCAUGCGUUGUCAAAGAAGCAAUAGUCAGAUGACAUUCAGAAAAGACUUGGAUGUUGGUGAACUGGUGGAGAGAGAACAGCAAGGAUUUGUGAAAAGAGUUGCAGCCACAUUUGAGAAAACCUUGACUGAGGAAAAAGGCAGUGAAUGUAAUAGUGAAAAAAUAUCUCCUAUGAACUCAGACAUUAAUUUUACAAGGAAAUGCCUCUCUAAAUGCGACUCUUCUGGAAACCUUAUGAAACAUAACUUAAACUUAUUUAAUCAGGAUAGGUGCCAGGGUAAGAAACAUCAUGAAUAUAACAAGUGUGGGAAAUACUCCCUUAGGUCAUCCUCUAUUGUAGUAGCCCCCUUUCAGUGUACUCAGUGAGAAAAGUCUUCUUUAAGGAGUUGGACCUCAUCAGACACUUGAGAAUUCAUACUGGAGAUAACCUUUAUGAAUGUUAUAAAUAUGGAAAAGCCUUUAUCUGGAAGUCAUGCCUUAAUUCACAUCAGAAAAUUCAUACAAGAAGGAAGCCUUAUGAAUGUAACAAAUAUGGAAAAACUUUCACUCUCAAGCAAAAACUCCUCAGACACCAUAGAUCUUACAAAGGUGAAAAGCCCUAUACAUGUCAGCAAUGCAGUAGAGCCUUCUACCACAAAUAUAAUCUCAUUGGAAAUGAAAAUGUUCAUACUGUAGAGACACCUUAUGAGUGUCAUAACUGUGAAAAAAACAUUCAGAUAUAAGAAAACUCUCUUUGUACCUCUGAAAAUUCAUACUGGGGAGAAAUCAUAUGAAUGUAAUGAAUGUGGGAAAGCCUCUCAAUGUUCAACCUUAUUAUGCACAUAAGAAGGCACACAAGGAAGAAAUCCUAUAAAUGUGAUAUAUGUGGAAAAGAGUUCUUUCAGUGCUCACCAUGGAUUUUGCAUAUGAGAAGUCAUACAUGUGAAAAACCUUACCAAUGUAAUGAUUGCAGAAAAGUUUUUGAUCGGAAGUCAAACCUCAGCACACACCAAAGAAUUCAUGCUGGAGAAAAACCUCAUGAAUGUAAUGAAAUGUGGGAAGGUUUUUCUUCAUAAACUAUCUCUUACAGUACAUGAAACAAUUCAUACAGGUGGAAAACCUUAUGAAUGUAAUGAUUGUGGAAAAGCUUUUACUCAGAGAUCUAUGCUUAGCAUACACAAAAGGGUUCAUACUGGAGAAAAACCUUAUGCAUGUAAGCAAUGUGGGAAAGCCUUUAGUUGUAAACCGGCUUCACUGAGCAUGGAAAAACUCACAGUACAGAGAGAUCAUAUGAGUGUUCUAAUUGUGAAAAAGCCUUCAGAUAUAAAAAAGAUCUGCAUCUGAAUAUUCAUACUGGAGAAAAACCUUUUGAAUGUAAUGAAUGUGGGAAAACCUUUUCUCAAUUUUUAUCCCUUUCUAUACAUAUAAGAUGUCACACAGGGGAAAAACCCUAUGAGUGCAAUGAAUGUGGAAAAGCUUCCCAUCAAAACUCAUCACUUUUGAUACAUAUGAGAAGUCAUAGAGGUGAGAAGCCAUUUAAAUAUAAUGAAUAUGGGAAAGGUUUUUCUCAAAAAGCAUAUCUUAUUGUACAUUUGAAAGAUCAUACAGAUGAGAAACCAUAAAUGUAAUAGUAUAUGUGAAAAGGCCUCUCAAAUUUUGAUCCCUUGCUCUACCUGUAAGGACAUAUAUGGGUAAGGAACCUGUAUAGUGAAUGUAGGAAACUGUACUCGAGAUUCUUUUCUCUUUAGACACCAACAAAUUCAUCAUGGUAUAAACACAUUGAAUGCCUUGAUUAUCAGAAAACCAGUAGAAAUUCACAUCUCAUAGCUCAUCAAAAAAUUCUUUCUACACCAAAACACUACAGAGGUGGAAAAGCCUUAAGAAAGUACUCAGAAUUUAUGAAGCCAAAGAUAUUCAUAAUGAGGAAAAAUGCCAUUGGUACAAUGGAAAAGCUGUACCAAGUAAAACCUAUAACAAACAUGGUACUUAAUAAUGAAACUCAGAAGAUGAAUAUUAAUUUCAGGAACAAGUGGGACAUGUCUCCUAUCACUACUAUUUGUUCACAGUAGUAUUUAGGUGGUCUAGUCAAUGAAAAAAUAUGAAGAAAAUAAGUACAUGAAAUAGAUUGGAAAAAAAAUACAAGGUUAAAAUCAUAUACAGUAUAGACCAGCUGAAACAUUUAAUUAACCUCAAAAUAACUAAAACCUGCAUUUAUGACAUUGGAUUUUGGGACUCUACAUAUGCCAGCCAUUUACAACUUAAAAUUCUAAUAAUGCAGUU